UGUAAGUUUAUACCACAUAUAUAUUAUCACACUCUCAUACAAAUCUUUGUUGAUUAAUGCUAUAAACACCAGUGUCCAAGGCUCAGAUGCUUUUUAAUAUGCAAAAUAUACUUAAACAGAAUGGUAACAAAAUGCAAAUCAAACUUAAUAUAUAUAGGUGCCAACUAGUGGAAUUGAAAAAAUCAUUGAGCUGGAGUGCCCAGCAACCUGUGUUCAAAUCCUGCUUCACCGGGUGGCUUGGUGGUGCACAAAUUCCUCCCCUCUUCUCAUCAACCUUAAUAACAGUACUGAUAUAAUGACAAUGAUGAUUUAAUCCAUAUAUUCUAUAAGUAGUUUGAAGGUAUAAGCUACAAUUGAAAAA
rnacentral:lncRNA from 1 species